AUCUAGAAACUCAAUAUAUGGAA
rnacentral:miRNA from 1 species